rnacentral:rRNA from 1 species
AUUGAACGCUGGCGGCAUGCCUUACACAUGCAAGUCGAACGGCAGCACGGGUGCUUGCACCUGGUGGCGAGUGGCGAACGGGUGAGUAAUACAUCGGAACGUACCUUAUCGUGGGGGAUAACGCAGCGAAAGCUGUGCUAAUACCGCAUACGCCCUGAGGGGGAAAGCGGGGGAUCGCAAGACCUCGCGCGAUUAGAGCGGCCGAUGCCUGAUUAGCUUGUUGGUGGGGUAAACGCCCACCAAGGCGACGAUCAGUAGCUGGUCUGAGAGGACGAUCAGCCACACUGGGACUGAGACACGGCCCAGACUCCUACGGGAGGCAGCAGUGGGGAAUUUUGGACAAUGGGGGCAACCCUGAUCCAGCAAUGCCACGUGAGUGAAGAAGGCCUUCGGGUUGUAAAGCUCUUUUGUCAGGGAAGAAACACCGGCUCUAACACAGUCCGGGAAUGACGGUACCUGAAGAAUAAGCACCGGCUAACUACGUGCCAGCCGCCGCAGUAA